GACGAACCGAGCGAACGUUGUUCGGAAUCACUGGGCUUAAAGGGCGCGUAGGCGGGCAUUCAAGUCUAUGGUGAAAUCCGGCAGCUCAACUGUCGAAUUGCCGUGGAUACUGGGUGUCUCGAGGGAGGUAGGGGCAUGCGGAACUAACGGUGGAGCGGUGAAAUGCGUUGAUAUCGUUAGGAACUCCGGUGGCGAAGGCGGCAUGCUGGACCUUUUCUGACGCUGAGGCGCGAAAGCCAGGGGAGCAAACGGG
rnacentral:rRNA from 1 species